rnacentral:piRNA from 1 species
UUUGGUCUAAGCUGUGCCCUGCCACCA